rnacentral:tRNA from 1 species
GGGCCGGUAGCUCAGUUGGUUAGAGCGCACGCCUGAUAAGCGUGAGGUCGGAAGUUCAAAUCUUCCUCGGCCCA